rnacentral:rRNA from 1 species
GAUGAACGCUGACAGCAUGCUUAACACAUGCAAGUCGACUUGGUGGCGGACGGGUGAGUAACGCGUAAAGAACUUGCCUCACAGCUAGGGACAACAUUUAGAAAUGACUGCUAAUACCUCAUCCUUGGAGAGGGCUUUGCGUCACAUUAGCUAGUUGGAGAGGUAACAGCUCACCAAGGCGAGGAUGGGUAGCCGGCCUGAGAGGGUGAACGGCCACAAGGGGAUUGGGACACGGCCCGUACGCAUACGGGAGGCAGGAGUGGGGAAUAUAGGACAAUGGACCGAAGUCUGAUGAAGCAAUUCUGGGUGCAAGAUGAAGUUUUUCGGAAUGUAAAGUGCUUUCAGUUGGGAAGCGGUACCAACAGAAGAAGUAACGGCUAAAUACGUGCCAGCAGCCGCGGUAAUAC